rnacentral:rRNA from 1 species
AUGAAGAGAUUUUUGAGGGGCUCAUCGAGCCGAAGCUCGAAGGAAAAGCAAAAUGAAGAAGCACAGAGGCCCAAAUAUAAUUUGCCUCGCACCGCGGAGGUCCGGCCGUGUGAAUGGCCUUCCGAUGAUUUCUUGAGAAAAGCCGGGAUUUAUGAUGAUUUCUAUUCAUUGGCUGAGAAUGCUGGCCUCACCGACUUCCUCCGCGACCAACGUCAUCAGUAUCUCUUACUCACCAAUACUUUUGUUCAAAACUUCUACUAUUUUCCUAAGGAAUCACCUCCUUCAGUAGAGUUUCAUUUAUAUGAUGUUGUUAAGAAGAUGUCACUAGAUGAAUUUUGCAAGGUUUGCAAAAUACCCUUCGAGGGUACCUUAGAUGAACCACAUCGUAAAGAUGUGGACGGGUUUAUUGACACCAUUACUGUGGGGGAAACCAGGAAGGUUUCCGAUGCAAGAAUCACUAGCAUACAUUUUCCUGUUUUACGCUACUUUGCUAUAUUUGCUAGUCGUUGCUUAAUUUGUCACGGAAACUGUGGAAACCUUAGUGUUCCUGAUAUUAUCAUUUUGCUCCAUGGUUUAUAUUCCGAUAACACUGUUAGUAUGGGCGGUAUUAUUGCUAAAAGGUUAAGUCUGAACCGUACUAAGGGUCCCAUCUUUGGAGGUAUUUAUGCUUCACGCCUAGCUGCGCAUUAUAACAUACCUAUUAGGCUCUAUGAGAAAGAAGAAAAAUUGCUGCCCAAUGCUUAUUUAGAUUAUAAGAGUAUGUUAGCGCAUGACUUUAUUGUUAAGAAUAAGGAAGGGGAGCUUAAAUACAAAUUGUUCUUUGAUAAACAUUACCCUGAGACUAUUACCUUGCCCGCUCCUUCCUUGUUUAAUUUAUCUGAAGGUCCGUAUCUCGUUCCGUGGGCGACCAUUCAAGCCUACUGGAACCCUACACCAGCCCCGGAGCCGGAACCACAAUUUGAGCCUCGACGACAGUCUGAUUACUUUUGGGAUCCGGAGAUGACUGCCAGCCAGUGGCAGUCAGAGUCCUCUUCAUCUCAGUACGACCCCAGCUACACCUACGGGUAUCCGCCAGGCCAUCCUUGGCAAUGA